rnacentral:rRNA from 1 species
GAGUUUGAUCAUGGCUCAGAACAAACGCUGGCGGCGUGCCUAACACAUGCAAGUCGUACGAGAAAGUCCGCUUCGGUGGAUAAGUAAAGUGGCGCACGGGUGAGUAACGCGUGGAUAAUCUACCCUUAAGUUUGGAAUAACUCAUCGAAAGGUGGGCUAAUACCGAAUGAUACUGCACAACUACUGUUGUACAGUCAAAGAAGGCCUCUGUUUACAAGCUUUCGCUGAAGGAUGAGUCCGCGUACCAUUAGCUAGUUGGUAGGGUAAUAGCCUACCAAGGCGACGAUGGUUAGCUGGUCUGAGAGGAUGAUCAGCCACACUGGAACUGAGACACGGUCCAGACUCCUACGGGAGGCAGCAGUGAGGAAUAUUGCGCAAUGGGGGCAACCCUGACGCAGCAACGCCGCGUGAGUGAGGAAGGUUUUCGGAUCGUAAAGCUCUGUCGAGUGGGAAGAAAUGUAUGAUGGCUAAUAUCCAUCAUGCUUGACGGUACCGCUAAAGGAAGCACCGGCUAACUCCGUGCCGGCAGCCGCGGUAAUACGGGGGG